GGUGUUUGCAGCUUAGUGGUAAAGGCGCCGCGCGCCGGUCUCUUAUGCGGGAGAUUGCAGGUUCAAUUCCUGGCAAGGUCG